rnacentral:rRNA from 1 species
CCUACGGGUGGCUGCAGUGGGGAAUAUUGCACAAUGGGCGCAAGCCUGAUGCAGCCAUGCCGCGUGUGUGAAGAAGGCCUUCGGGUUGUAAAGCACUUUCAGCGGGGAGGAAGGCGUUAAGGUUAAUAACCUUGGCGAUUGACGUUACCCGCAGAAGAAGCACCGGCUAACUCCGUGCCAGCAGCCGCGGUAAUACGGAGGGUGCAAGCGUUAAUCGGAAUUACUGGGCGUAAAGCGCACGCAGGCGGUCUGUCAAGUCGGAUGUGAAAUCCCCGGGCUCAACCUGGGAACUGCAUUCGAAACUGGCAGGCUAGAGUCUUGUAGAGGGGGGUAGAAUUCCAGGUGUAGCGGUGAAAGGCGUAGAGAUCUGGAGGAAUACCGGUGGCGAAGGCGGCCCCCUGGACAAAGACUGACGCUCAGGUGCGAAAGCGUGGGGAGCAAACAGGAUUAGAUACCCCGGUAGUC